rnacentral:rRNA from 1 species
GACGAACGCUGGCGGCGUGCUUAACACAUGCAAGUCGAACGGAAAGGCCCUGCUUUUGUGGGGUGCUCGAGUGGCGAACGGGUGAGUAACACGUGAGUAACCUGCCCUUGACUUUGGGAUAACUUCAGGAAACUGGGGCUAAUACCGGAUAGGAGCUCCUACUGCAUGGUGGGGGUUGGAAAGUUUCGGCGGUUGGGGAUGGACUCGCGGCUUAUCAGCUUGUUGGUGGGGUAGUGGCUUACCAAGGCUUUGACGGGUAGCCGGCCUGAGAGGGUGACCGGCCACAUUGGGACUGAGAUACGGCCCAGACUCCUACGGGAGGCAGCAGUGGGGAAUAUUGCACAAUGGGCGGAAGCCUGAUGCAGCAACGCCGCGUGCGGGAUGCCGGCCUUCGGGUUGUAAACCGAUUUCGACUGUGACGAAGCGUGAGUGACGGUAAUGGGUAAAGAAGCACCGGCUAACUACGUG